CCCCCCCCCCCCCCCCCCCCCCCCCCCCCCCCCCCCCCCCCCCCCCCCCCCCCCCCCCCCCCCCGGGCCACCGCCAGGACCACCCUGGGGCCACCGGGCCACCGCCAGGGCCACCGGGUCACCCUCGGGCACAUUCAGCCCCUCGGGGCAAGGACAGGGAUAGGGAUAAGGGACAGGGAUGGGAACAGGGACAGGGAUAGGGACAGAGACAGGGAUAAGGGACAGGGACAGGGUUAAGGACAAGGACAAGGAUAGGGAUAAGGGACAGGGAUGGGAACAGGACAGGGAUAGGGACAGAGACAGGGAUGAGGGACAGGGAUAAGGGAUAAGGGACAGGGAUCAGGGUUAAGGAACAGGCAUAAUGGACAGGGAUAAGGGACAGGGACAGCGACAGGGGUAAGAGACAAGGAUAAGGGACAGGGACAGGGGUAAAGGACAGGGACAGGGAUAAGGGAUAAGGGAUAAGGGAUAAGGGAUAAGGGAUAAGGGAUAAGGGAUAAGGGAUAAGAGAUAAGGGACAGGGACAGGAACAGGGAUAAGGGUCAGGGCUGGCACUACUCACAAGCGCCGGAGCGGAGGAGACGAACUUUGCACAGGUGAACAUGGCGAGGACGGAGGGACACACGGACACGGCCGAGGGGACAGGCGGACACGGCUGCAGGGACACGGGCAGGAGUGACCGCCGUGACCCCGGGCCCGGGGGGUCACACAGGGGACACGGGGACACAGGGGAGGGGCGGGACGAGCCGCUGGCGCCCAGGUGGCACCUGUGGCACUGCGGGGUCACGGGGGAGCUGCUGGGGCACGGCCUGGGGACCCCCAGCCCUGGCAGGACAUGUGUGUGCCCCCCGGGCUCUCGGUGUCCCCUCAGAGCUCUCAGUGUCCCCUCAGGGCUGUCGGUGUCCCCUGAGAGCUCUCAAUGUCCCCCCGGGCUCUCGGUGUCCCCUCAGGGCUCUCGGUGUCCCCUCAGGGCUCUCUGUCCUCUCAGAUCUCUCAGUGUCCCCUCAGAUCUCUCAGAGUCCCCUCAGGGCUCUCGUUGUCCCUCAGAGCUCUCAGUGUCCCCCCCGGGCUCUCGGUGUCCCCCACAGUGCUCAGUUCCCCUCGGAUCUCUCGGUGUC
rnacentral:lncRNA from 12 species